GCCCAGGCUCGGGGGAGAAGCCCCCAGCCCGGCUCCUCCGCCUCUCCGCUGCAGCAAAGUUUGUUGCACCACCAGCCCGGCGCUCAUGGAAGCGGAUCCGGGCAGCGUUGGUGGACCCCACGGGACCGCCCAUCCUUGUCCUGGGGAUCCGGCUCCCUCCUCAGUCUCCCCAGGACUCUGGCUAAUUCCGCUUUGCCAGAGCCCCGACCCUGAGGCUUCUUUGCCGCCGCUUGACCCUCGAAUACGCCGAAUAGUGCCCCCUCCAGGACAAAGUUCUGGUCCCUGUCGGUUUCCGCCUGGAAAAGCGCCAAGUCUGACCCUUGGCAACUGCAGACUGGGGCCCGUGGCGCUAGGCAAAUCCUCCUCGGACGGAGAGGCUUGGUUGCCUGGCACACUCCGCCCGCUGGGUCCGCGGGGGAUCCAGGAAGCAGGAGGAAGGCGUCGGGGCCGGGCUGCAGCCGCUGAGCUCCGCUGGGGGUGGCGCUGGCGAGCCGCAGUGGAGAGCUCCGGGCGGGAGGCCUAUUCCCUGCGCUCCGCCCGGACGCUGGGCUGGGCCAGCGGUGUAACCCGGGCUCCCCUCCCAGGGGUCCUCGUCAAAGGACACUGAUGGGCCUGGUGGAGAUUCUGCAGAACUCUCAAGGAGCUUCAAGAACCCACAAACCAACCGCAGACGACUCUAAGAGAUUAUUAACACGAGAACAAGCGCCAUUCUAAAUACUGACAAACCCAGCCGCGGCUGCGGAAUGCUGUUACCUUGGAGAAACCUUGCUUUCAACCCCGGGAAACUCCUAGUUAGAAAAAGAAUUAUAGUCAUGGGUAGACUGACUUAGCGAUAAAAAUCACAGUAAUAAAUAGAUCCCUUGAUUUUUCAAAAUGCACUUUGGAGUCACACCCCCCCCCCCAUUGCAGUUUGGAUACAUCUAAGCCUUUUCUUUUUCUUUUUUUUUUUUUAAGUAAGUAUUAAAGAGUAUUCAUUAAAUUAGUCUCUUGGGGAAGAUUACUACUAAUUAAUUAAUUGCAAACAUUUCCAGAGGGAAGGUAUGUCAAUUGGAAAGUAAUAAAAUUAGAUAGUCGAAAUACUUACUCAGCAACUUUUAUUGCCCAUUCGUUCCUAAGCAGAUUUUUUUUUUUUUUAUGACAGGAAAAUGGGGAUGGUGGGGGAGAAAAAGCAUUAGCCCUGUCCCUUGGCAAUAUGGUUGCAAAGCAGAGACUACCAUAGAGGAUUUAUUGAUUUUCAGCUGAUUUAUAAGACCUCUGUGGUAUCAAUGCUGUGUGCAAGACUCCCCUUGUGUGCAAGGCUUACCCCUUGUCUUUGCUUUAGGAUUAGAGAAAGGCAAGAAGAAUUUUUUUUUUUGGAAGAAAAGAAGACAAAAAACUGUGGCAAAAUAAAUUGGGAGUACAACUAUGA